CUCCGUGCCAGCAGCCGCGGUAAGACGGAGGAGGCAAGCGUUAUCCGGAAUUAUUGGGCGUAAAGCGUCCGCAGGUGGCGAUUCAAGUCUGCUGUCAAAGUCCAGGGCUCAACUCUGGGAAGGCAGUGGAAACUGGAUUGCUAGAGUACGGUAGGGGCAAAGGGAAUUCCCGGUGUAGCGGUGAAAUGCGUAGAUAUCGGGAAGAACACCAGUGGCGAAGGCGCUCUGCUGGGCCGUAACUGACACUCAUGGACGAAAGCUAGGGGAGCGAAAGGGAUUAGAUACCCCUGUAGUCCUAGCCGUAAACGAUGGAUACUAGGUGUUGCCCGUAUCGACCCGGGCAGUGCCGUAGCCAACGCG
rnacentral:rRNA from 1 species